AUGUUCAAAACAUUAUCUCAAGAAUCUGGUUUAACUAUUGACAAUGUGGAAAAAAUUAUGGGUGAUGUGGAAGAUGUCAUGGAUGAAACUGCUGAAAUAAACAACACAAUCAGUGAAGGUACA